UACGUAGGGUGCGAGCGUUGUCCGGAAUUACUGGGCGUAAAGAGCUCGUAGGUGGUUUGUCGCGUUGUUCGUGAAAACCGGGGGCUUAACCCUCGGCGUGCGGGCGAUACGGGCAGACUUGAGUACUGCAGGGGAGACUGGAAUUCCUGGUGUAGCGGUGAAAUGCGCAGAUAUCAGGAGGAACACCGGUGGCGAAGGCGGUUCUCUGGGCAUGUCCUGACGCUGAGGAGCGAAAGCUAGGGGAGCAAACGGG
rnacentral:rRNA from 1 species